ACGUAAGAGGGCGUGCGUGAGUUUCGGCCUCGCUGUUUGCAUGUUUGUGCGCUUUGGGUGUACUUUUUCCUAUGGGUGGCCAACAUCAGUUUCGAUUACUAUAAAAUGACUGGCGGAAUGUAGCUUCCAUUUCGGUUGAAGUGUUAUAGCCUCCGGUAGAUGUGGUGAUUGGGACUGAGGAUUGCAACGAAUAUCCUUUGGGCUAUCCGUCUGGCCUCUGAAAGUUGCUUGGGUGCUGAAAACUUGCUUAUGGUUAUCUAAGUUAACGGUCAAUA
rnacentral:rRNA from 1 species